UUCAAUGCUAAAAGUCAAUACGUGUUUGACAGAAAAAAUGCUAAAUAAAAAGAGAAAUCAAACUGUUCAUACAUCCAGAUUACUCUCCUAUGAACUUUUCGAAUUCGUGCAGGGAUCCGGGAUGGUAAGAAAACAGAUGUGCGGAAGUUAUGCUCUUAAUAAGUGUUAACUCCGCGGGCGAGGAGAAGCGAAAUAAAAAAAGGGAAAGACAGAUGACAUUCGCAGAGAAAGGUAUGAUGCGGACGACAACUGGAAGUACUCGAACAAAGAAGCUAAGAAAAAAACGGAUUAUUAUAAUUUCAUAUUUUUAUUAAAGUCCCUUUUUCUUUGUCAA